rnacentral:lncRNA from 1 species
GCUGAGUAGACGCCUGGAGAACUACCAGCAUGAACGUCCCAGGAGAAGUUGCUUUGAUCAUGGAACAGCCCCAGUGAAAGUGCAGAAUUUAUACCGAGGCCAUCAGCACAAGGAGUUCAAAAUGUAGGCUCAAGCAAGAAUGACAAGCAUGUCACCACUCCAAUAUUCCAUACCCACAG